AUGGCCUCCCUCACCAUACUCGUCUUUUGGACUAUUUGGAACGAGAGAAACGCGCGUGUGUUUCACAACGAGAGCACGCUGCCACCUAUCCUGCUCCAAAAUAUCGUGCUCGAGGCAAAACUAUGGGUUACGGCAGGUGCUAAGAGCAACUCUAGCAGACCCGCAUCCGCCCCCGACCCGCAAAAUAACCGCCAAAAUGCGGGUACGGGCUGGAAAACCUGCCCGACCAGACCCCGCAUCCUGCCACGGCCCGCAAAAUUUUUUGAGGGGCGCGGCAAAAUCCCGACCCCAACCCGGGAAAACGCGGGUUUCCCCCUCGCGGCUGCGGUGCCCUGCAUCAGAGAGAAGCAGAUGGCAGGAGGGACAUUCAGCCCCGUGCUCUUUUCCCAAUCCUUCCGUCGCUGCCCACCCGCCGCCCGCGAUUCCGGCCAUAUCUGCGGGCGGAAUCGCGCUACGGGGCCUGAUACGUCCAUUUUGCAUCAUGCUUUUAUAUCAAUAUUUAUUGCAUUAUGGGUUGUUAUUACACAUUAUGUCACAAUACUUAUGCCUAUUCUCUCUUAUUUUACAAGGUUUACAUAA
rnacentral:rRNA from 1 species